rnacentral:misc_RNA from 1 species
GUCGUAACAAGGUAGCCGUAGGGGAACCUGCGGUUGGAUCACCUCCUUACCUGAAGAUACUCUCCCGCGUAGUGUCCACAACAGAUUGUCUGAUAGAAAACGUAAUGAGCAACAGUAACAGAGUCCCCAUCGUCUAGAGGCCCAGGACACUGCCCUUUCACGGCUGUAACAGGGGUUCGAAUCCCCUUGGGGACGCCAUCUCCUGAUAAUGAGUGAAAGACAUUAUCAACCAGUAUCUCAAAACUGAUUCUCUCCGCAAGGACGAGUCACGUUUGAGAUAUUUGCUCUUUAACAAUCCGGAACAAGCUGAAAAUUGAAACGACAUGUCGUUUUCAUUCUCCGUAAUAAGAAUGAAAUCAACGAUAUGUUCGAGUCUCUCAAAUGCUUACAACAGCAAUGUGUCUUUCGGGACGCUUGUGGGUUGUGAGGUUAAGUGACUAAGCGUACACGGUGGAUGCCUUGGC